AGGGCCGCCUGCAUUGCGGGUUGGACGAUGCCCUCAACACGGCACGGCUGCUUGCUGAGAUCAUGCGGCGCGGGGUCAAGAUGACCAUCACUGGCUCACUGGUGCCGCUGCCGCUGUUCGAGCAGGAGCAGCAGCCUCGCACAAGCACCUGCGGUGGCUCACUUGCGCCGGCGCCGCCGCCGUUCGAGCAGAAGCAGCAGCCUCGCACAAGCACCUGCGGUGGCCCACUUGUGCUGGCGCCGCCGAUUCAGCAGCAGCCGCCUUGCACAGGCCCUUGUGAUGGCUCGUUUCCGCUGGUGCUGGCGCCUAUCCAGCAGAAGCAGCAGCAGUGGCCGCAGCCUCACAUAAUCAGCCCCUGCGG
rnacentral:lncRNA from 1 species